rnacentral:rRNA from 1 species
CGAAGAACCUUACCUCGGGCUGACAUCCCGGGAACGUACCCUUCGGAAACAAGAGAGUGCCCUUCGGGGAACCUGGAGACAGGUGCUGCAUGGCUGUCGUCAGCUCGUGUCGUGAGAUGUAGGGUUAAGUCCCGCAACGAGCGCAACCCUUGUCUUUAAUUGCCAUCAUUGAGUUGGGCACUUUAAAGAGACUGCCGGUGAUAAACCGGAGGAAGGCGGGGAUGACGUCAAGUCCUCAUGGCCCUUACAUCCCGGGCUACACACGUGCUACAAUGGCAGGUACAGAGGGCUGCGAAGCCGCGAGGUGGAGCGAAUCCCAGAAAACCUAGUCUCAGUCCGGAUUGAAGUCUGCAACUCGACCUCAUGAAGGCGGAAUCGCUAGUAACCGCGAAUCAGCAGGUCGCGGUGAAUACGUUCCCGGGCCUU